UAGGGAAUCUUCCGCAAUGGGCGAAAGCCUGACGGAGCAACGCCGCGUGAGUGAUGAAGGUCUUCGGAUCGUAAAACUCUGUUAUUAGGGAAGAACAAAUGUGUAAGUAACUAUGCACGUCUUGACGGUACCUAAUCAGAAAGCCACGGCUAACUACGUGCCAGCAGCCGCGGUAAUACGUAGGUGGCAAGCGUUAUCCGGAAUUAUUGGGCGUAAAGCGCGCGUAGGCGGUUUUUUAAGUCGGAUGUGAAAGCCCACGGCUCAACCGUGGAGGGUCAUUGGAAACUGGAAAACUUGAGUGCAGAAGAAGAAAGUGGAAUUCCAUGUGUAGCGGUGAAAUGCGCAGAGAUAUGUAGGAACACCAGUGGCGAAGGCGACUUUCUGGUCUGUAACUGACGCUGAUGUGCGAAAGCGUGGGGAUCAAACAGG
rnacentral:rRNA from 1 species